rnacentral:rRNA from 1 species
GAAAUUGGUCAAUAGCCUAACGGCUGAACCAGCAACUUGGAGGAAUGUAUAGCGAAAGCUAGUUGCAUUUAAUUUAGUUAAAUCUAAGUUGGUGCAGGAUUGACUUUGUCGAAUAAAGUUCUAGGUGGGUUAUGAUAAUGACAUUUCCUAUCUAUGUGUCUUGACCAAAUUACGUGCCAGCAGUCGCGGUAAUACGUAUAAGACUAGUGUUAUUCAUCUUUAAUAGGUUUAAAGGGUACCUAGACGGUAAAUCAAGUCCGAGANAGGAUACUAAUUUACUAGAGUUUAAUGUGAGGGGGCAUUAAAGUACUGAUAAGUGUAAGGCUAGGUGUAGCAAAAAGGAUUAGAUACCCAAGUAGUCUUAGCAGUUUGAAAAUUAUGAAUGUCAUAGGGUGGAAAUUGUUAGAACUAUAACAUAAAAUUUUAUUCUAUAAAUGAAAGUGUAAGCAUUCCACCUCGAGAGUAAUUUGGCAACAUUGGAACUGAAAUCAUUAGACCGUUUCUGAAACAAGUAGUGAAGUAUGUUGUUUUAAUUUGAUGGUCCGCAAAAACCUUACCACUUUUUAAUUAAAUUUAAUUUGAAUAUAAAAAUUUAUUUUAUACAAGCGCUGCACGGUUGUCUUCAGUUAAUGUCGUGAGAUUUUGGUUAGUUCCAUUAAUUAACGUAAACCCUUACUUUAUUUUUAUAUAGAGUAGUUCACCGCURGAUUGGAUGUGAUAACAGGGACUAAGACAAGUCAUCAUGGCCUUAAUAUUGUGGGCUUAACGU